GGUCAAGUCGUGUCGGUUGCUGUACAAUCUGUACCUUCACUGCACGGCAGACACCGGCCGGGCCGUGCUGACCGCCCUGAAGGAGGCGGACCUGGGCCGGGACAGUGAUGGCCGGCCCCGUACCAUCGUUCUCUUUGUCCCCGAGGAGCUGUUCCGUCAGCUGAAGAGACAGGAAGGCGGUGGGGUCAAAGUGUGGGAGUGGGAGGAUUGAUGCGCUGCACUACCGACCGUGCAGUGAUGAGCUGACUGCAGAGAGGCCGAGCCAGUCGGCCGGGGCCGCCAGCUGACUGCUGCCGUGUGUGCUGCACCAGCCGGCACUGAGAGCGGCGCCGGUCAGCCGGCACACG
rnacentral:lncRNA from 1 species